rnacentral:rRNA from 1 species
AACGAACGCUGGCGGCGUGGAUAAGACAUGCAAGUCGAACGGAAUAUUGUGAGUAGUAAUACAAGCGAUGUUUAGUGGCGAACGGGUGCGUAACACGUGGAUACAUUCCGGAAAGCGGGGGAUAGCCCAGGGAAACUUGGAUUAAUACCGCAUGUGGUCGAAAGACUAAAGACGGGGAUCGAAAGACCUGUCACUUUCCGAUUGGUCCGCGGCCUAUCAGCUAGUUGGCGGGGUAAAAGCCCACCAAGGCUACGACGGGUAGCUGGUCUUAGAGGACGACCAGCCACACUGGAACUGAGACACGGUCCAGACACCUACGGGUGGCAGCAGUCGGGAAUCUUUCACAAUGGGGGCAACCCUGAUGGGGCGACGCCGCGUGGAGGAUAAGGUCUUCGGAUUGUAAACUCCUGUCAUGUGUGAACAAGGCUACCUGGUUAAUACCUGGGUAGAUUGAUGGUAGCACAAGAGGAAGAGACGGCUAACUCUGUGCCAGCAGCCGCAGUAAGAC